AGAGCGAACGCUGGCGGCAGGCCUAACACAUGCAAGUCGAACGGACCCUUCGGGGUUAGUGGCGGACGGGUGAGUAACACGUGGGAACGUGCCUUUUGGUUCGGAAUAGCUCCUGGAAACGGGUGGUAAUGCCGAAUGUGCCCUUCGGGGGAAAGAUUUAUCGCCAUUAGAGUGGCCCGCGUCUGAUUAGCAAGUUGGUAAGGUAAUGGCUUACCAAGGCGACGAUCAGUAGCUGGUCUGAGAGGAUGACCAGCCACAUUGGGACUGAGACACGGCCCAAACUCCCACGGAGGCAGCAGUGGGAAUCUUGCGCAAUGGGCGAAAGCCUGACGCAGCCAUGCCGCGUGAAUGAUGAAGGUCUUAGGAUUGUAAAAUUCUUCACCGGGACGAUAAUGACGGUACCCGGAGAAGAAGCCGUGACUACGUCGUCGCCAGCGACGCCGUACGGUAACUCGUAGACGGCGGCGUCGGACGAAGGCGACAGUAG
rnacentral:rRNA from 1 species